rnacentral:lncRNA from 1 species
AUGGAGCACUGUCUAGCAUUAACACUGAAUCUGUUUUUAUUAUGUGCUGGACAAGAUGUUUCUGCAGCUAGCUCUCAGACUUACAUUGUGCAACCCAAUGACAAUGCCACUCUGUCCUGCAAUAUUUCACAUGCAACUAGUCAGCCGGAUACAAUUUCUUGGCUCCACCACCGCGAAGAUGAGUUGAAACCAGUGAUGACCAUAGAAUAUUUCAAAAUGUCCAAAAUGUACACAGAAAUCCGGAAUGAGAACAAUCCCCAUGUAGGUAUGGCGGACAACACCAGCCUUGUAAUUACCGGAGUGAAAACGUCUGAUUUGGGGGUGUACCAUUGUUUGGCCCGAAGAGGAGACAAAACCCUGAUUGUCAAAGCAAGCAUCAGAUUGUCAUUCACAGGCGAGGCAGGAGCUGGAGAGCAGGGGUCUACACUCCGCUGGGGCCUCCUUGCUGGCGUAGGACUCGCUUCAGCCUUUCUGGGGGCUCUGGUGACCUUCUGUGUAAGCUCUUGCAAAGCGAAACGCAGCAUCGACAAUACAGAAAAGAAUGGUCUAAAGAGUGUUGAUGUGCAGUAUACCAGUCUGAGAUGCCAAGGCAUAAAUUAUCAGAAAAAACUCCAUCGACCCCCAGAUGUGACCUACGCCACAGUGGCUCAUCGUUCUCCUGCCAAUGCCAGUGGCCUUAUUCGCUGAAUGUGUCUAUGAUGAUUAAGCAGUUUCAUUCGCUUGUGCCUUUAGAGGAGACUAUGUGAUGUAAUAUUGUUGCAUUGUUUCUUAUUUGUAAAUAUUUCACCAAUAAUGCUUAGUAACUAACAAGAUAUACAUGGAAUGAUUGUGCGUGCGUGUGUGUGUGUGUGUGAGCGAGCGAGUAAGUCUGUAUGUGCAGCCAUGUCAAACAUGCCUGUAGCAAAUUCAGAGUGCAAUGACCGAAAAACUUUAAACUUUUUUCACAAGCUGAAAACCUCUCAACGUGUCUAUGAUCUGCGCCCAUGUGUGUGUGGAUGACAAAGAGAGAGAGUUUAUCUGGCAAUUAUUGACGAUGAUAUACCUGUAGCAGAUAGCUUAGCAUGUAAUGUGUCCUGAACUUCUCUCCAAACUACACGCUUUCCAGCAAAUGUAUAAUGAAUAUAGUUCACCAUUUUCUUUUAAAAUAAAAUAAAUACUCGGGCUGAUCA